rnacentral:rRNA from 1 species
UACAUGGGGUGCAAACGUUGCUCGGAAUUAUUGGGCGUAAAGCGCACGUAGGCGGUUUGUUAAGUCGGAUGUGAAAUCCCUCGGCUCAACUGAGGAAGUGCAUCCGAAACUGGCAAGCUUGAGUACGAAAGAGGAUCGCGGAAUUCCCGGUGUAGAGGUGAAAUCCGUAGAUGUCGGGAGGAACACCGGUGGCGAAGGCGGCGAUCUGGGUCGAUACUGACGCUGAGGUGCGAAAGCGUGGGGAGCAAACAGG